rnacentral:rRNA from 1 species
GGAGGCCAAGCUGAUGAAGAUCUUCGCUAUGCUGAUGCUCUUCUCCCUCUGCAACAGAGGCAACGCGGAGUGCCCCUAUCGGACCUCCACGUGACCCAGACCGCCACGGGGAAGAACGCCGGAGGGAACCCGGAGUACGCAGUGGAGGUGGAGAACAAGUGCAUCUGCACACAGACGGACGUCAAGCUGCUUGCCCCCGGGUUCAAAUCCUCCGAGCCCGUGGACCCCCAGGUCUUCCGGCCGGACGCCGAUGGCAAGCUCGGCACCCUCAACAACGGCUCCCCGGUGUACUACGGAUACAAGAUCACGUUCAACUACGCGUCGGCCACCAAGUUCAGCCUCAGGCCCUUCUCCUCCAGCAUCGCAUGCUCGUGA